GUUUUAUUUUUUCAUUUUAAUGAAGUCUAAGUUUAAAUUAAAUUUAUAAAAAUUUUAUAUAUAUUACUAAUAUAAGUCUAUAUACGACUGGAAGAGAUGAAUUAUAUAUCUUCAAGCGGCGCAAAUAUUUAUAGCAGAACGAUCGUUGUAUCCUUUUUAUAUAAAAAAAAAGACACUAUUUUUCAAUUACUAAGUGGGCGAAUUGAGACUCUGCCAUAGUCCGCUUACAUCAAAGCAUAGCAACACUGUUCAGAAUGGCAAUCGAUGUCAUGGGGUCAGACCACUAAUUCAAGAAUGGGACAGAAUUCGAGCCCCUCUGUAUGGACAGCCGUAGUGUUUCCAGAUAGUCAAUCUGGCCAACAAUGCAAAAAUUCGGACCAAAAGAAAAUAUCUGUUGAAUUUCAUGUCGCCAUAUUGGAUACAUCAUUUAUAUUCGAAAGUCUAUCAUCAGAUUCCUAUUCUGUAUCCGCAAAAUCCAUAUCUGGUUGAUAACACAAAAAGUCGGACUAAAUGAAAAUAUCAAUUGAAUUUCGGAUCCUGUAUUGUAUCUGCCAUUUUGAAUUCGAAAAAGCUAUCAUCAGAUUCCUGUUCUAAAACCCAAAAAUCUUCAUAUAUUGAUUUUCGUCAAAGUAGGACUAACAUUAAAAAUCUGAAAUUUGGCGGCUGCCACUUUUGUGAGCCUCCUUUUGAGUAUAAAUUUUUUCAGGCAGUAUGUGAAGGAAUAUUUUUCUCAGCAU
rnacentral:lncRNA from 1 species